CGGGAGGGGGUGCAGGGCGGGAAGCUGUGGCCGCCCGGCUCUGGGAGGCUCGCGCGCGCCACCGUGUGGGGGAGGAAGCUCCCUCCUCCGCCCCCUGCACGCCUGGCUCGUUCCCAGGCAGGGGCAACAGCUGCCCACCCAAAAGAGAGAUGAGUAUCUAGAGGUAUUGGGGCUCAGGAAAGAUGCGUAGGAGGACCUGUCGGGCAACCGUCUGCUUGUACUUUAGAGAAUGGAAGAAGAGGUCGUUGGGAAAAAGAAAAGGGGGGGAGGGGUUGGGAAAGGAACGUUUAAGAAAAUCCCAGUGCUCCGAAAAGAGGGAAGACAGGCUUGAGGCGCGGCUCUUUAGGGACCCCCUACCCCCCGCCUAGGUCUUUGUCUUUUCUAAAAAUCCACUACUUUGUGAAGAGGGUUCAGGGGAAGGUACUGGAUCUUUUAAAUUUUUAUUUGAAAAAUAUCGAAGACUUUAGGGGAAAAUAAAAUACCUUCAUCUCCUGCUUCCCGAGGUCUGGAUUUUAAGGUCAGCACAGUCACCUCCCCUCUGAGCAAAGCGCGGCCCCUUAGGCAAACUAAAACGCCAGCCAAGGAGAUUUCCGUUUUCCGCUGUGCCGCAGGCGGCCAAGCACUCACUGGUUUGGCUCUUUAUGAUGGUAAUUUCUGGAAGGUGGUACUCUGUCCCUGGUUUCCGUCUUUGGGCUACAAGAUUCUCUUCCCCCCUCCCCGAUACUACCCUCUUGUCUCAUGGAAUCAUCUCUGAGCUGAAAACGUGUUUUUCGCCUGAAGAAGUGGAUGCAUUUGGUCCUGGGCAUGUCAUUUAGGUGAAUGUUCUCCUCUCCAGGAUGGAGAUGGGGCCAGAAAACUGCAAGGAUCUACACCCACGGGGCUUCAGAAAACCAGGCUGCAGAGGGAAUCGUUUCCACCUGGUUGGAUGAGGCUGGAAGUCAGAGUCCCUUCGCCAGAUGAUCGUGAGGUCCCCCGCUGUUAAGGGAAGAUCAGUUGGAGACUUCUGAGACCUGGCUUCCUGGAGAGCAAGGAAAGGCCGGGUGGUCUGACCUAGAUGGCCUUGGAGUUCCCCUCAGCUGGACUACUCUUUAGACAGAUUUCUUCCUAACAUAAGUCCCUGAGCGCCCUCUUCUUACAGCGUUUACUUUAGAAAACUUUCCAUUGUAAAUUCUUUCUCUACUCCCUUGAGAUGUAAAUCAUCUCCCAGCUUCUCACCAGUUUUCCCGCCCAGGAAAGUCUUUCUCAAGGACCUGGGAGCCAUCCCUUGGAAGUGGAAUCAUCAAGGAAGAGAGCACCUCUCUCUCUCUCUGCAAAGGGUUGUUCACAUAUGACGCUGUCUGCCUAAGCACCCCUGUGCCGCUGGAUAAUUCCUACCCCUUCAAGUCACAGCCUAAUGUCACUGCCAAAGAGACACCAUCGCUAAUCAGGUCAUCUAAAGGACCUACUCCUUCAUUGGCACAAAGAACUCUCAACUGCGUGGCGAUAUCACUGCUACUCUUUCACACCCCCUGUGGCUGAGCACCAACAAUAAUUCUUAUUCUGAAGGCAAUAUGUCAGGUACUGCCAGCAUGACCUCACAUUUAGCCUCUACUGCAGUGUUCUGGGUGCUACCACAGUGCCCUGAGUAUGUGCAGUUCGAGUCCUCUUUUAGAAAAUUGCUGAACAAAACAGUCCUGAGAUGUGUGUGUGUGUGUGUGUGUAUGCAUGUGCGCACAUUUGUGUAUGUGUGGAUUCUUGCCUUCACAGUAAUUGAAAGAGAAGAGACUUUGGACAGUGAAAAUAGAAAACUAGAUUAAAACAUAUAAUUACAGUCCAAGUAAACAUGACCAUUUUCUCAGGAAAAAAAAAUUAAAUCUGCACCAGCCAGGAUCUCUGGUGUUUGUUCUUUAAGGAAAGUAUGUUCUUAAUCAAACUAUUGUAUUUUUUCUGAGAAAUAAAAUGCUUAGGAAGAA